UGCAUCUUUUACAAUGAACUUGACUUUGAC
rnacentral:piRNA from 1 species